GGUUGUAUCAUGGAAAUAAAGCUGGGGAGAAGAUUGGACCUAAAUGCAAUGUAGGUGACCGGAUAGGAUGCGGAAUCACAUUUCAGAGGGCUGGGGGGAUGUGGGGGUUGUUUAGCCUAUAUGAUUAUUUUGCUGUAUUCACAAGAAACGGAAGAAUGAUUGGACAAAAAGUUAUAUGUACAGUAUCUGCACGAUUCCUUGCUGUUGGGAUGCAUUCAGCUAUAGAAAAAGUCAAAGUUAUACUUGAUGCAAAGAUGCCAAGGAUGUGAAACAAGUGGCAAUUGCGUACGGAGUUUCAGAAAAAUUAGACACAAGAAUAAGCAUAGACAUUUAUAUACAACCAUUACGAUUAUAUUAACAUUAUGUCCAGUGUGUGUACAUAAUAGCACGUCUCUAGUGCUACAGUGUUUAACUAUGCAUUUGAAUUUAGUUUGUUGAUGCUUCUAAAUAUGAUAUUUUACUUCUAAAAGAAAAGUCAGGCAUAAAGUUAUUAAUAAUACACGUAUAUACUUGCGGUUUUCUCUAUUAUGACUAACUUGAAUCAAACGCUGGCUUAUGCUUCAGUUUUUGGAUUUUAUUAGUUUCCUAUGUAAGUUCAGUUUUAUCCAUAAUAAUUUAUAAAAGCUAUACAAAAUUAUACCUAUAUAUUUUUCUGUACUUCCUCUAAUUUCUACAUGUUCUUUUUCAAUUCAUUCGUUUUGUUACAAAAAUCAAUCGGGAUAGUAAUUGGUCAAUCUUUACAACGGGCAUCAUGUAUUUUGAACGAGCUUAUAUCAAAUAAUCAAGGCCUUUGAGUGGUUUGUCGAUUAAGAUGCACAGAAACAGAACCGCGAGACUCAGGGCGUUAACGAAAACAACAUCGAAACAUCUGAACGAUGAACCGCGGUAAAUUAAACGGGAAACAACAAGACGAUAGAUUUCAUUCUUACAUGUUCCUUGAAAUAUUUUGACAAAAAAAUUGGUCUUCCUUUAUCCGAGAAGUUAUGAACCAGAUAGCAUGUCGCAAUUUGGCGUCGUGGUUGACCAUGAUGUUAUCUUACCGAUUCGCACGUAAAUGUUAUUAAUUGCAGAAUAUAAAGAACUUGACUGUCUUCUUUGAUAAACUCGAAAUCAAAUCGAUGCAUUUAAACACAUGACUAUCAAGUGUGUUCCUGAAAUACGUAAGAUCGGUAAUAUUCUCAUUCGUAUGAUAUUUGUAACAUUGCUACAUAGAAUUGUUGACAAGUGAGAUCUAUGUCUAAAUCAUAAUUCAGUUGAUCAGAAAGUAUCAAAGGCUAAGUUAAUAGUUGGCAAAUGGCGUGGUAAUAAUUCGUAGGUUUAUGAUAUUGUAACUAGAAGAAAGUUGUAUGGAAAGAGCUCGCAAUGUCUAUUAAUUUUCUUAAUGUAAGAUAUUGUUUGCAAAUGUCUGUUGUUUCAUACAGAAAUAUUUUACUACACAAAAUUUGAAACAGAAACUUUGACUUGUUUAAAUGUAUAUUUAUCUGUAGUCGAAUUAGGCAAUAUAUCGCAUAGUUCCAUUUCUUUCUAUAUUUAUGUUCACAUUUUGUUGUCUUUAAACUGUUAACACGGAUCAAUAGUGACUACUUUUACUAAAAUAUAAACUUUGACAUAAUGGAAACAGUUAAUUUGAAGUUCUAUUAGAUUAGUUUAUUGCAAAAAUGCCACAUUUCCAAAAUGUCGUCUUUAAUGCAAGAACAAUUUAUAUGUCGUGUUGUCCCUUGCAUUAAAAACGUUUACGUUAAUCAGAAUUCAGUAAAAAAUUUUAAACAGAGUGCGUUUUACAUUACUUAAUGCUGAUAGAAAAUUAUGAAACAACUAUUCCUAACUCAUAGUUUACUGUUUUAUAAUAUAUAGUUUCGAAAUUGAAAUUACAUACUUUUGUUUUAUUUCUGCUGUACUGAUACGUCAAUUUUAAUUGCGUUAAGUACAUUAUCUGAUUGUAUUUCCUCAAAAAUAUUCUGUAAAUAUUUUUGCUAUUAUGCACUCUAGCGGGAAAAAACUGUGCACUGAUUUUCUGUUUGUUUGUUUAAUUGUUCAGAUUCUAUUUUUUUGAAUGUAUUGCUGCAUAAGUCCAUUCACUAAAUAAAAUAACGAGGAUAUUGCGACGGGAUUCCUUCUGUUGCGCAUGUGCGGAAAAUGGUGGUGUUUUUAUUUUUUAAAACAUUGUUACGUCUCAAUAAUAAAUAAAACAUAUAUCAAAAGGAGUUUAUCAAUAUUGAACUGUGCCAAGAAUAUGGAUUAUUGUGUGUGUUAUCUUGAGAGUUAUUUACUGGAUUAGUCUUCGCUAUUAAUGAGUAGAAAACGGAAUGCUAUUACGUCUAACGAAAAGGAUACUGAAUAAUGACGGGGAUCAGAAUCUGGGACGUCCAGAGACAAACAAACCCAACGGCUCUGCAUGGUCAGUCCGUGAAGAAAGAAGCAUUGAUGGUACUACCGAAAUUGUGUCAGGUCAGUCGUUGGAAUCGUCGGAAAUGCCAUAUUUUACUCCAGGGGCCAAUAGUGAAAACUGUGAAGACAAAGUAAUAGAAUUCUGUGUUAAGGUUUUGAAAAUUCCGGAGGCUGAUAGUAGAGUACAUAUUGACAGGGCUCACUGAAUCGGAAGUUUUAUUCCGGGUAAAAUUCGACCGAUCGUUGUAAAAUUCAAAGACAUGGAAUCAAAGUUAUUGGUUAAAAUACUUUAAAACUGAUAAAUCUGAAAUAUAGCAAUUAUAAUGUUUUUGAACAGUUUCCCACUGAGGUGAAGGAGAGAAGAAAGGCCCUUAUCUCAGAACAAGGCACGGAAUUCAGGAAAAAAAGGCUGUAUUGAUGCGAGAUAAACUCUUUGACAAUAAACUGUUUAAUCCAGAAUCUCGUGCAGACAGUGAUUAAUAGGACAGUAGAGAAAAGUAUGACUUAUCCAUUAUAUCAUAGAAUGUUGAAGUCUUAGAUAGUUGUAUUCGUAAUGAAGAUUUUAUUAAUUUUGUUGUAAAUUUUGAUAUUCUCUGUCUGUGUGAAUCUUGGAAAAAAAGCAAAGAUCUGUACGAAUUAGACGGAUACGAGUGUAUUACAGUUCCUAGACCUAAAAGUAUAACAUCAAACUCAAAAAGGGGUCACGAUGGUGUUUGUAUUUUUUAUAAAAGCCUCUUAAAAGAGGGUAUUACAGUAUCUGAAAUAGACGCUAGCGGUGUUAUAUGGAUCAAACAUAGUAAAUCGUUUUUUAAUCUGGAAAGUGAUGUUUACUUAUGUUGUUUAUACAUACAUCCCAGUUAUUGUAUAUAUUUCACUAUGCAUGUAGAAGUUUUUUUUUGAACGUUUAGAAAGAGGUGUACAUAAGUACUCUCAGCUAGGAAAUAUAGCCGUGAUAGACGAUGUAAACGCUAGAGGUGGCAAUAAGCCUGCCUUUGUUAAAAAAAAAGUUCACAUUAUGAUAAAUUUAUUCCAGUUAUUGAUAAAAACUGUGACAGUGAAGGUAAUAGUUUCGAUAAUAUUCCACAUAGAUUCUCUAUGGACCCGGUUGUUAAUACAUCAGGUAAUAGAAUGUUGGAACUAUGUCAAAGUAGUAACCUGUUUAUAAAAUACGGCAUAGAAGGUGAUGAUGCUGGAAUAGGUAGUUUCACCUACUUUUCGGCGGACGGUAGUAGCGUAAUCGAUUACGCAUUAUGCUCGGAGGAUUUAUUCCCCUUGGUUAGUAAUUUUACGGUGCAUGACUUGUAUUCUGUUUCACCACAUUGUCCUAUUCAAGUUUAUCUAAAUGUUAACAGUUGUACACCGUGUAAAAUUAGUAUUAGUAGAAAUGCAUGUGAUAAAAUUAUAUGGGAUAGUGAAAGAGUUGAUUGUUAUAGAAAUGUUUUUUCUUCUGAACUUUUGAAUAUCGAUGGAAUUAUCAGUAAUAUUGUAUCAAGGGAAACCAAUAUUGAUGCUGGAAUAAGUGAGAUAACAAGUAUUUUGUAUGAUAAAAGUGCAAGCGUUUUUGGUAAAUCUUCACUUAAUAAGACACAUAAAAGUAGUCAAUUAUAUAAGAGCCCAUGGUUCAAUAAAGAAUGUUAAUUAGCUAGGCGAGAAUUCAGAGCAGCUAAUGAAUCUUUUAAUAAAAGAGUCAUCUUUGGAAUAUAUUGAAUUAUUAAAAUCUAAACGCCGUAGGUACAAAAUGAUUAAAAGGAAAGCACGUUCUUAAUAUAAUGGGAAACAGAAAAAAAACUUCAGAAAUUAGCUAAGCAUCAACCGCAAAAAAUUCUGGAAAGAAAUAGGUAAAAUUAAAAACAAAAAAUCUAAGUUUGAAACAUUACAAAAGUACAGAUUUUUGAGCAUUUUAAAACUUCUGAGACUGACAGAGCAAUAGCUUUACUAAAAAUGGUAAAAGUGGAGGGGUAGACAUGUUAGUUAGUGAAAUAUGUUUAGAAUGUAAAGAUAUUCUUACUCCUAGCCUUUGCAAAUUAUUUAAUUUUAUGUUUGUAAAUAGUGUAUAUCCUGAGAUACGCGACUAAAGGUAUUAUAGUUCCUGUACCAAAAAUGGGUAAUCCUGACGACGUUAACAACUACAGAGGUAUAUCUCUUACUAGUAUUUUUUCUAAAAUAUUUUCCACAGUAUUGGAAACUCGGCUGCACAAGUGGGCUGAGAGUAACAAUUUGUUAUCAGAAUACCAGUAUGGUUUUGUAAAGACAAAAGCACUAUAGAUUGUAUAUUUGCUUUAAGCUCAAACAUAAACAAAGUCAUAAAAAAUAGAAAAAGAAGCUGUAUUGUGCUUUUUAUAGAUUUUCAUAAAGCUUUCGAUGUUGUGUACAGAAAUGGUAUAUGGCUAAAACUAAUAAAAUAUGGAGCUUCUAGAAUUUUUAAAAUGUUAAAAGUUAUGUACGAAAAUGUUAAAUCAUGCUUAAAAGUGAAUGGUUCAAUAACUGAGUAUUUUGAAUGUAACAGUGUUAAACAGAGAGAACCAUUGUCUCCCCUGUUAUUUAUCUUUUUUAUCAACGAUAUGUAUGUUUAUCUAUACGAAGAAAAUGUUGAAGUUUUUUCUCUGGAAGAGAUAAAAAUAUUUCUGCUAUUGUUUGCUGAGGAAACAGUACUAUUUUCGUAUACUAAAAACGGUUUGCAGUUAUUACUUGUGAUUACUAGAUAAAUAGUUAUGUAUUGCCAAAAAUGCGGAAUUACUGUUAACUCUGAAAAAUCAGUUAUUAUGAUCAGUAAAAAGGGUAACAGAAAAGAAAAUGAUGUAUUUAUAUAUAACAACCAGAGUCUUAAAAUUGUCGAUAAAUUUACUUAUUUAGGUGUAACAAUUUCAUCUAAUGGUAGCUUCUUUCAAGCCCAAAACUCAUUGUAAGAGCAAGCUAUGAAGGCUCUAUACUCUCUAAUCUCUGUCUUCGAUAAUUUGUCUCUGGAACUAUCUGAAAAAAAUACAAUUGUUUAAUUUUAUGAACAUGCCUAUUCUUAACUAUGGAUCAGAAGUCUGGGGUUUACAUAAUUCACCAGAUAUAGAACGUGUUCACAAAAAAUUUCUAAAAAAACUACUAGGUGUAAGACAACAAACAUCAAAUGCUGUGGUAUGUGGUGAAUUUGGAAGAGUACCUUUGUUGGUGUUACGUAAAGUAGGCAUUAUAAAGUACUGAUAUCGAAUUGUUAAGCAAGCAGACUCAUUGUUAUACAAAUUGUUGAUGAUGAAAGACAGAAAAAAUCAUUUUGUUAAUAAAUGGUCUAUUGAUGUAAACUAUCUAUUGCAAACUUUAGGGUUUCCAAAUGUUUUUUCAUAAACCAAAUGAAAUUGAUCCUAAUAGUGUUAUUCAACGUAUCUAUGAUCAGUACUAUCAACGAUGGUUUUCUGAAAUUGAAAUUUCAACAAAACUAGAUAUUUUCAAUACGAUUAAAGACAAUUUUGAAGCUAAAAAAUACCUUAGUUGUGUGAAAAACUCUAAUUACAGAAUAGCACUCUCACGGUUCAUGUGCUCUGCUCACAGGCUUAUGAUAGAAGAAGGCAGAUUUAGAAAUAUUUAUAGAGAUCAAAGAAUUUGUUUAAAAUGUAAUAUGAAUGCAGUUGAAACAGAGUACAAUUUUUUACUUGUUUGUCCCUUUUACAGGGCAUUAAGACAAGAACACCUACCAAACUAUUACUGCUCUUGGCCUGAUUUACACACAUAAAAAGUAACUAAUCUCCAUUUUACUUUUCGUCACAACACCUAUCUACGUAUGUUUUACAUAAAAAAGUAUCUUUUUUUUUUUUACAUGAUGACAUUUUAAUCUAGAAAAGUUUCUUAGCUAUCUGUAUGAGCAAGCUUAUAGCAACGUUGAUUUUUAGAAAGCUCUUUUUUAGAAAGAUGUAGCACUUGAUGCAUCUAGUUAAAACGCGUAUUGAUACAACCCAUUUCGAAGGCAGAGACCGCUCAUAUAGUAUAAAUCAGAUAAAUGUCAUCAUUAUUUUUUUAAGUCUCUCAUUCAAAUAAUUCUAAUAGAUAGAAUUUUGGUUGGAGACUAAAAACCAACACACUUAGUUUAUCUGAAAAUGUCGUACUUGGUAAUAGUCCCAAAAUAUUUUGGUUAUCAGUAUUUAAUGUAUAGAUAACUGAUGUUUAAGUUACCAAUUGUGUCCACAUCUUAGUUCAAUUUUAUUAUUCUACUGUAUACAUUUAACGCAUUUAAGAAUUAAAUGCAAAAUAGUCUUUCAGGAAGUUAUAUUCUGAAUAUUCAAGUUUUAUUAUACUGUUUUGAGUUAAUCAUUUAAAGUUUUGAUUGACACUGUUUGUUUAUUUUAAUCAUUGUGAAUGCAAAAUAAUCAUUUCGAAAAA